GAAUUUUGGACAAUGGGCGCAAGCCUGAUCCAGCCAUGCCGCGUGAGUGAAGAAGGCCUUCGGGUUGUAAAGCUCUUUCGGCGGGGACGAAACGGUCCGUGCCAACACCCCGGAUCAAUGACGGUACUCGCAGAAGAAGCACCGGCUAACUACGUGCCAGCAGCCGCGGUAAUACGUAGGGUGCGGGCGUUAAUCGGAAUUACUGGGCGUAAAGCGUGCGCAGGCGGCUCCUCAAGUCAGAUGUGAAAUCCCCGGGCUUAACCUGGGAACUGCGUUUGAAACUAGGGAGCUUGAGUGUGGAAGAGGGGGGUGGAAUUCCAGGUGUAGCAGUGAAAUGCGUAGAGAUCUGGAGGAACACCGAUGGCGAAGGCAGCCCCCUGGGCUAACACUGACGCUCAUGCACGAAAGCGUGGGGAGCAAACAGG
rnacentral:rRNA from 1 species